AAUUAGCGGAUGACUUGUGGCUGGGGGUGAAAGGCCAAUCAAACCGGGAGAUAGCUGGUUCUCCCCGAAAGCUAUUUAGGUAGCGCCUCGUGAAUUCAUCUUCGGGGGUAGAGCACUGUUUCGGCUAGGGGGUCAUCCCGACUUACCAACCCGAUGCAAACUACGAAUACCGAAGAAUGUUAUCACGGGAGACACACGGCGGGUGCUAACGUCCGUCGUGAAGAGGGAAACAACCCAGACCGCCAGCUAAGGUCCCAAAGUCAUGGUUAAGUGGGAAACGAUGUGGGAAGGCACAGACAGCCAGGAUGUUGGCUUAGAAGCAGCCAUCAUUUAAAGAAAGCGUAAUAGCUCACUGGUCGAGUCGGCCUGCGCGGAAGAUGUAACGGGGCUAAACCAUGCACCGAAGCUGCGGCAGCGACGCUUAUGCGUUGUUGGGUAGGGGAGCGUUCUGUAAGCCUGCGAAGGUGACCUGUGAGGGUUGCUGGAGGUAUCAGAAGUGCGAAUGCUGACAUAAGUAACGAUAAAGCGGGUGAAAAGCCCGCUCGCCGGAAGACCAAGGGUUCCUGUCCAACGUUAAUCGGGGCAGGGUGAGUCGACCCCUAAGGCGAGGCCGAAAGGCGUAGUCGAUGGGAAACAGGUUAAUAUUCCUGUACUUGGUGUUACUGCGAAGGGGGGACGGAGAAGGCUAUGUUAGCCGGGCGACGGUUGUCCCGGUUUAAGCAUGUAGGCUGGUUGUCCAGGCAAAUCCGGAUAAUCAAGGCUGAGGUGUGAUGACGAGGCACUACGGUGCUGAAGUAACAAAUGCCCUGCUUCCAGGAAAAGCCUCUAAGCAUCAGGUAACAUUAAAUCGUACCCCAAACCGACACAGGUGGUCAGGUAGAGAAUACCAAGGCGCUUGAGAGAACUCGGGUGAAGGAACUAGGCAAAAUGGUGCCGUAACUUCGGGAGAAGGCACGCUGGUGUGUAGGUGAAGUCCCUGCGGAUGGAGCUGAGACCAGUCGAAGAUACCAGCUGGCUGCAACUGUUUAUUAAAAACACAGCACUGUGCAAACACGAAAGUGGACGUAUACGGUGUGACGCCUGCCCGGUGCCGGAAGGUUAAUUGAUGGGGUUAUCCGUAAGGAGAAGCUCUUGAUCGAAGCCCCGGUAAACGGCGGCCGUAACUAUAACGGUCCUAAGGUAGCGAAAUUCCUUGUCGGGUAAGUUCCGACCUGCACGAAUGGCGUAAUGAUGGCCAGGCUGUCUCCACCCGAGACUCAGUGAAAUUGAACUCGCUGUGAAGAUGCAGUGUACCCGCGGCAAGACGGAAAGACCCCGUGAACCUUUACUAUAGCUUGACACUGAACAUUGAGCCUUGAUGUGUAGGAUAGGUGGGAGGCUUUGAAGCGUGGACGCCAGUCUGCGUGGAGCCAACCUUGAAAUACCACCCUUUAAUGUUUGAUGUUCUAACGUUGGCCCCUUACCGGGGUUGAGGACAGUGUCUGGUGGGUAGUUUGACUGGGGCGGUCUCCUCCCAAAGCGUAACGGAGGAGCACGAAGGUUAGCUAAUCCUGGUCGGACAUCAGGAGGUUAGUGCAAUGGCAUAAGCUAGCUUGACUGCGAGCGUGACGGCGCGAGCAGGUGCGAAAGCAGGUCAUAGUGAUCCGGUGGUUCUGAAUGGAAGGGCCAUCGCUCAACGGAUAAAAGGUACUCCGGGGAUAACAGGCUGAUACCGCCCAAGAGUUCAUAUCGACGGCGGUGUUUGGCACCUCGAUGUCGGCUCAUCACAUCCUGGGGCUGAAGUAGGUCCCAAGGGUAUGGCUGUUCGCCAUUUAAAGUGGUACGCGAGCUGGGUUUAGAACGUCGUGAGACAGUUCGGUCCCUAUCUGCCGUGGGCGCUGGAGAAUUGAGGGGGGCUGCUCCUAGUACGAGAGGACCGGAGUGGACGCAUCACUGGUGUUCGGGUUGUCAUGCCAAUGGCACUGCCCGGUAGCUAAAUGCGGAAGAGAUAAGUGCUGAAAGCAUCUAAGCACGAAACUUGCCCCGAGAUGAGUUCUCCCUGAGACUUUAAGUCUCCUGAAGGAACGUUAAAGACGAUGACGUUGAUAGGCCGGGUGUGUAAGCGCAGCGAUGCGUUGAGCUAACCGGUACUAAUGAACCGUGAGGCUUAACCUU
rnacentral:rRNA from 1 species